rnacentral:rRNA from 1 species
CAGCAGCCGCGGUAAUACCGGCGGCCCGAGUGGCGGUCACUAUUAUUGGGCUUAAAGCGUCCGUAGCCGGGUUGGGAAGUCCUCCGGGAAAUCUGGCCGCUUAACGGUCAGAAUGCCGGAGGAUACUCCCAGCCUAGGGAGCGGGAGAGGCCGAGGGUAUUCCCGGAGUAGGGGUGAAAUCCUAUAAUCCCGGGAGGACCACCUGGUGCGAAGGCGCUCGGCUGGAACGCGUCCGACGGUGAGGGACGAAGGCCAGGGGAGCAAACCGGAUUAGAUACCCGGGUAGUCCUGGCUGUAAACGAUGCGGACUUUGUGUCGGACAAGCUAUGAGCUUGUCCGGUGCCGGAGGGAAACCGUUAAGUCCGCCGCCUGGGGAGUACGGCCACAAGGCUGAAACUUAAAGGAAUUGGCGGG